UGAAAUCUGUAAUUAAUGGCGACAGCACGAAAAGCAAGGCACCAUUUCAAACCACAGACCAAAGAACUUGGCUAACAUGAUAAUUCUGCUGAUUUUCAAAUCUGAUUUAUAAACAGCUGAUCUGCUGGACUGAAGGACUGAGACUGACAUGUGAGACAUCCUGGUCAGAGUCUUACAUUUACGGUGUAUUAACUCUGAAAGGGAGUUAAAUCUUUGUCUUAUUCUAACUGUAACUAAAGUAACAUAACAUAAUCGAAUAUAUUCCAUAAAGACAGAAUAUUACAUUACUCUUAUUUUAGCGAUGCAUAUGUAGGGGAGCCUACAAAGUCUAUUCGGUAAAGACUUUUAUUUUGAUAUUGCGAUGACGUUUACACCGCCAUUUUGUGCGAGGAGAGGCGGGGUGAGAGGGAAUUAGAGCAGCGGCGGGAGUUGAGCUGAUGAGUGAACUUCGGGAAUAUUACAGCGGUAAAAAAAAAGUUCAGUUUAGACCCGUGACGUGUUCCAGAGACACAUUACGUUGUUUCUAAAAAUCCGUUUGUCUUUAACGAGUCUGUUCUAGAAGGCGAUAAAACGGGUUUUCCUUCGUGUGUGUGUGUGGAGCGGGGAAAUAGGCCUGUUAGCGCUUACAGAGUUAUUAUCCGGUGUAGUCGAAAACUCCCGUGUUUUCUUUAUGUUUCACAUAAAGUUUUGUUUUGUUUUGUUUUGUUUUGUUUUGUUUUGUUUGUUCAAACGAACUCAGAACGUAACGGAUGCCAUUACUUAUGGUGUGAGAAGAGUUGGCUGACUUAUCGGAUAGGGUUGUGUAUUGUCCGUCUUCUCCACUGGAUCUCCGUUAGCCGGGAUUGCGGCCUCGCUGGAUCAAGCUUCAGUCUUCAGCGUGAGCACAAUCGCUAAGGGUCAUUGGGUGGAGAGACAUUACUCUGCCUUCUGCUGGACAUUCAGCGCCUCAUCAAAGUUAUAAGAGUGGUGAUGUACAUUAUGCUUCCCAUCUUCAACUGAACACUAUGAUGAGUAGCAACCCGGUCCACCUGUGACUGUACUGAAAGGCUUGAAGGGCUUCUUACAUGCUAAACGGCGUCAAGCAGGGUUGUGUCCUGGGGCCAACCCUGUUCAGCCUCAUGUUCUCCGCAAUGCUGACUGACACCUUUGGAGACGGUGAUGCUGGGAUAGGCAUCAAGUACCGCACAGAUGAUAAUCUGUACAACCUCAGGUUGCUCCAAGUGAAAACCAAGGUUUCGACAGACAUCAUCAGGAACUUCCUCUUUGCUGAUGACCGUGCCCUUAACAAUAGCACAGAAACGGACAUGCAACGCAGCGUUAACAGGUUUUCUAGUGUCUGCACAAACUUCCUUCUCACCAUCAACACCAAGAAGACUGAGGUCAUUCAUCAGCCAGCCCAGGGAAGCCCUAUACAGAGUCCAACAUCACUGUCAAUGGUCAGAGACUGAAAACAGUGACCAAGUUCACCUCGGCAGCACGUUGUCACAAAAUGCCACAAUAGAUGACGAAGUUAACGUCCGCAUUGCGAGAGCCAGCUCAGCUUUCGGGAGAUUGUAUGCCAAGGUUUGGAACCGAAGAGGCAUCACCAUCCAGACCGAGCUGAAAGUGUACAGGGCAGUUGUGCUCCCCACACUGCUGUAUGCAUGUGAAACGUGGACAGUGUGCCAACGUCAUGCCAGGAAACUGAACCAUUUUCACACCACCAGUCUCAGGAAAAUCCUUGGCAUCAAGUGGCAGAACAAAGUCCCAGACACUGUGGUUCUCAAUCAAGCAGGCCUCCUAAGCAUCUUCACCAUCUUGAUGACGACCCAGCUACGCUGGGCAGGACGUGUGAUACGCAUGACAGACCAACGUCUACCAAAGAGACUCCUCUAUGGCAAGCUCCAGCAAGGUCAGCGUUGCCAAGAAGGCUAAAAGAAACGCUUCAAAGAUACCCUUAAAGCCUCACUGAAAGCGUUUAACAUCAAUCCUGCCUCCUGGGAACAGACUGCAUUGGAUCGUGACACCUGGCACUCCUCCAUCCACAAGGGCUCUUUGCUGUGUGAGAUAAAUUGGAAAGCUGCAGCCGAACGAAAGAGGCAAGCCAGAAAAACCUGUGCCAGCAACCUUCCCGGAGACGUCCACCCCAUCCCCUGUCCCACCUGCCUUAGGACUUUACGUGCAGAGAUUGGCCUGACUAGCCAUCUACGCAUGCUUCAUCUCUGAUGACAAAAUGGUCUUCGUCGCCACGACGGACAACUAAGAAGAACUAGGAAGUUCUCCUUGUUGAGUGCUGUAUUGAGGCUAAGCCGGUAAUUUUGUAAACACUCUCGAGUUUAUCUCUCAGGUUUCCCGUCUCUCUGAAGCUUUCUCGCUGUGUCAGAUCAAACCUCUUGGACCUUGUCCCUUGGGGUUCCUCUGGUUUUCUCCAGUUCCUUGCUUUAAAAAAAAAAACUUGUUUACUUAUUUCCUUUGUAAGUCAGUCCUCUCUGACCUUUUUAUUUUCCAGUUUACUCCUCGUGAGCAUGGUCCAUGGUCGGUUUGUGUAGGGUUGGUAGUUCACUGCGCUGCAUGUAGGUCUCUCCAUCCUCCAGCCUCAGGUUCAAGUCCAGUGUGGCGUAACCCUUUGUUUCCCCCUCUUUGGAGUUGUUCUUCCUUAAGUUUAUUUCUCGAGGCCUAGCCCUAAUUACUGAGAGAGUAGUUAGUCAGUGUUCCUUGGUAGUUAAUGAAAGAGGAUUCGUUCUUUGGGUGUUCUAGUCCUGCAUAUUUAUGUAUGAACUAUGAAACAGUAUUGUACAUUACUCGUGUUUGUGUUAUUUGUAUCUGUCAAAACAUGUUUAGUGUAAUGGUAUAAAUCUUAAAAAACAAGUAGGACCAAACGUCAUUAUAAUUAUUAAUUUAAUGGAAUAUAAAAAGUCCAGAGUGCAGUAGGAACAUGACAGCGACAGAAACACAAACCAGUUAUGAUUACAGUAGAAGAAAUUAGCUUUACUUUAAUAAUGUACUUUAGACACAAUUUCAUGUCUUUUCACUGUCCUAAAUACUCUGCACUGGUGUAGGGGUGGAAAAGAACAAAAAAUAGCGCCUUCACUCAUAUUUCUCACUAGGGUUUUGGUCUUCCAGAGCAUCGUUGGUGAGAUUCACGAUCUGAUCGAGCGCCUUGAGGAUCGGAACAUCCAUGUCAUUGUUUGAACUUGAGUUCGUGCAUGGCCAGGAAGUGUAGUUCUUGUCGGCCGUGUUUGUAGUUGGCACUGCAUUCUGGGAACUGCAGUUGCGAGUUCACCACAAUGUGACACUAAUAUACACCAUUUAAUUACACAAUUACCUUUUCUCUGAUCUUCUUGCUGGUGUAGACCUUUCUUAGGUCCUCUUUAACCAGUUUGCAGGCUUCGUCCUCUUUUUUUCCAAGAUGAUUACGUGAGGCAAAUCUGUACAAUAGGAUUAAUACCUGCAGUGUUUAAUUCUUAUCAUAGUCAUUUAUCACUGAUUACAAUUUUUAUUAAUUAAAGUUUUAUCAAUUAGAUGCAUUCUGUGUUGUGGAACAUCCAUGAUAGAAGUUAUCUUCUGUUAUCGCUUCUGCUCUCGCAGCUAUAAACAGUUUCUCUUA